GACAGAGGGUGCAAACGUUGUUCGGAAUUACUGGGCGUAAAGCGCACGUAGGCGGCUUUGUAAGUUAGAGGUGAAAGCCCGGGGCUCAACUCCGGAACUGCCUUUAAGACUGCAUCGCUUGAAUCCGGGAGAGGUGAGUGGAAUUCCGAGUGUAGAGGUGAAAUUCGUAGAUAUUCGGAAGAACACCAGUGGCGAAGGCGGCUCACUGGACCGGUAUUGACGCUGAGGUGCGAAAGCGUGGGGAGCAAACAGG
rnacentral:rRNA from 1 species